rnacentral:rRNA from 1 species
AGCGAACGCUGGCGGCAGGCCUAACACAUGCAAGUCGAGCGGCCGUAGCAAUACGGCAGCGGCAGACGGGAGAGUAACACGUGGGAACGCGCCCUUCGGUUCGGGAUAACUCAGGGAAACUUGAGCUAAUACCGGAUACGCCCUUACGGGGAAAGAUUUAUUGCCGAAGGAACGGCCCGCGUCCGAUUAGCUUGUUGGUGAGGUAACGGCUCACCAAGGCGACGAUCGGUAGCUGGCCUGAGAGGAUGACCAGCCUCACUGGGACUGAGACACGGCCCAGACUCCUACGGGAGGCAGCAGUGGGGAAUAUUGGACAAUGGGCGCAAGCCUGAUCCAGCCAUGCCGCGUGGGUGAUGAAGGCCCUAGGGUUGUAAAGCCCUUUCAGCGGGGAAGAUAAUGACGGUACCCGCAGAAGAAGCCCCGGCUAACUUCGUGCCAGCCGCCGCCGUAAUAC